CAACUAGUUUCUCCUCUUCUUUAGCUGAAGCAUGCAGACUGAAGGAGGUGUCAGACAUGGCGUGUCCUUUUCUUGAAGAGCCAGUUGAUAUUGAAGCACAAAUACUCCGCAGAAAUCUCAGUCGGGAGAGGGUGAUCAGAUCCCGCUUGGAUGUUUUAUCGUUCCCUGAUGAUUAUCUGUUUGAGUGUUUCCGUUUUUCUGCACAAUCGUUCAUUCACCGGAACAAUAUUCCCAGCCCUCAUAUCAUUCAUAUGACACAUCGUGGGCAUGCUCUCAGUUCGGAACAAAUUCUUUGUGUUGCACUUCCUUUUUUCGCCAAUAUCAGUUUUCUAUAUAACAUCGGUCACUGAGCAUAUUUCCAAGGCAAUCGUCUGUCGGGCUGUCAGAAAUGUGACUCUUGCACUGAAAGUUUACUGUACACUUGUGGUGUUCCCAAGUUACAGAGCCUCAAGACUCAAAGAAGAAUUCCAUAAAAUUACAGGGUUUCCAGGUGUGAUUGGCUGCAUACAUGGCACUCAUAUUCCUAUCACAGCUCCUUCAGUAAAUGAAGGAGAUUGUGUGAAUAGGAAGUCUUUCCACAGCAUUACUGUGCAGAUCAUGUGAUGCAGCCCACAUCAUCAGCAACAUGGAAGCAAAGUGGCCUGGGUCUGUGCAUGACUAGCACAUUCUUUGUGAGUGUACACUGAGCGCUAGAUUUGCUUGUGGAGAGUCCGAUGGUUACCUGCUCGGUGACAGAGGGUACCCCGACCAGCCCUAUUUGCUAACCCUGAGCCCGGCCUGCAGCAACAUUAUAACUUGGCUCACUGCAGGACACGAGCCAGGGUAGCGAUGACCAUCGAGAUGCUCAGGGCCCGGUUCCAGUGCCUUUGUAGGGUCAGGGUCACCCCAGAAAGGGCAUGUGACAUUAUUGGGGCUUGUGUGAUUCUCCACAACAUUGCCACAAUUAGAGAACAAUGUCCUACUCAACCAGUGAACAAUCCUGACCACCCUGCUGACACACCAGAUGGAAGAGCAGUAGGCUACCAUCUUUUCUGAUCAUCAGUGUCACCAUCACCUCCCCAGUGUCAAAUAUAGACAAUAUGCCUUUCUUUUUUCUUCUUUAUUUCCUGAAAGUACAAAUGCAGUACAGUAGUUUUUAUUUGUAUUUUGUUCAAACAAGUAAAAUCACCCACCUGUGGACACCUCACCACCUUUAACUGAUGUUCUACCUGUGGACACCUCAUCCACCUUUAACUGGUGUUCUACCUGUGGGCACCUCACCUACCUUUAACUGAUGUUCUACCUGU